rnacentral:rRNA from 1 species
UAUUAUUUUUAAUGUAUUUAUGUAAACUGGGGUAGUAGUAGUAGGUCUUGAAACCUAAAGAAUUUGGCGGUGUUUUAGUCUUUUCAGGGGAAUCUGUCUCGUAAUCGAUGAUACACGAUUGGAUGUACUUAAUUUUGUUAUCAGUAUGUAUACCGCCGUCGUAGGAUUAUAUUUUGAAAUGAAUUUUCUUGAUUUUAUAUUAAAUAUUAUGUCAGGUCAAGGUGCAGCUUAUAAUUAAGUGUAUGAUGGAUUACAAUAAUUUUAAUUAUAAUGAAUAAUUAUUUUAAGUUAAUUUAAAGGUGGACUUGAUUGUAAAUUGAUUUUAAUUUGUUGGUUGAUUUGAGCUCUAAAAUGUGUACAUAUCGCCCGUCGCUCUCGUUACUAAGAUGAG